rnacentral:rRNA from 1 species
CGAACGGUAACAGGAAGCAGCUUGCUGCUUGCUGACGAGUGGCGGACGGGUGAGUAAUGUCUGGGAAACUGCCCGAUGAGGGGGAUAACACUGGAAACGGUAGCUAAUACCGCAUAAUGUCGCAAGACCAAAGAGGGGGACCUUCGGGCCUCUUGCCAUCGGAUGUGCCAGAUGGAUUAGCUUGUUGGUGAGGUAACGGCUCACCAAGGCGACGAUCCCUAGCUGGUCUGAGAGGAUGACCAGCCACACUGGAACUGAGACACGGUCCAGACUCCUACGGGAGGCAGCAGUGGGGAAUAUUGCACAAUGGGCGCAAGCCUGAUGCAGCCAUGCCCGCGUGUAUGAAGAAGGCCUUCGGGUUGUAAAGUACUUUCAGCGGGGAGGAAGGGGUUAAGGUUAAUAACCUUAGCCAUUGACGUUACCCGCAGAAGAAGCACCGGCUAACUCCGUGCCAGCAGCUGC